rnacentral:tRNA from 1 species
GGAGAGGUGGCCGAGUGGUCGAAGGCAGCUGCCUGCUAAGCAGUUGUAGGGGUGACUCUACCGGGGGUUCGAAUCCCCCCCUCUCCGCCA